UACGAAGGGGGCUAGCGUUGCUCGGAUUGACUGGGGCGUAAGGGCGCGUAGGCGGUUCGUACAGUCAGACGUGGAAAUUCCUGGGCUCGAACCUGGGGGCUGCGUUUGAUACGUGCGGACUUGAGUGCGGAAGAGGGUCGUGGAAUUCCCAGUGUAGAGGUGAAAUUCGUAGAUAUUGGGAAGAACACCGGUGGCGAAGGCGGCGACCUGGUCCGAUACUGACGCUGAGGCGCGAAAGCGUGGGGAGCAAACAGG
rnacentral:rRNA from 1 species